rnacentral:rRNA from 1 species
AAACCUGAGAAACCCAAAAGAUCGAAUGGGGAGAUUCAUCGUCAGCGACGUUGGCUUCCGUGUGGAUCGCGAUGGCCGGGACCUCGGUUCCGCGUCACGCGUNUGCUGCGGUAUGUCCGGCGUCGUCGGCGUGCACUUCUCCCCUAGUAGGACGUCGCGACCCGUUGGGUGCCGGCCUACGGCCCGGUUGGUCGACUGUCGCGUCGCGUUCACGCGUGCACGCGGCAGACCACCGGUGUCCCGGCCGGCUGCCCGGCGGUAUAGAUCGCUAUAAAACGGUAUUGGGCCGCAUUAAGUGCGUUCUGGCUCGUCGGCAGGCUCGUCUCGCUCGGAUUUACGGACCUAGCGCCGUUGCCGGGUGCUUGGCGUGGCCGUUUAGUCGACGAUGUCCUCGGACUGGCUCUUACAUUCGAACGGAUAUACCGGUCGGCGACGCUACUGCUUUGGGUACUU